AAAUCUUGUAGCCGAUGACAGUCAAAACAGUGACAUACAAGAAGAGGAGAGUGGCUACGAACUCGGCUAUGACGGCUCUGUACAAAGACCACUUAGUCAGCUCCUCCGCAUCGAAAAACGGAGUUGGCGGCGGAUCUUCGUAGUCCCUCGCCGCGAAUCCCUCUGCUCCUUCCACGUCUUUAGCCAUAUCGUAUUAUUAUAGGUAAUGGAUGUUUCUUCUUAGGAACUAUUUUACUUCUGGUUGAGAAUAAGCUAGAGCAAAUGGUUCUUUAUAUAGAGUUAGCUCUUGAUUUGUGCUACUGAGCGUAUAUCUGACACUUUUUUAUCAACACAUUUCAAAUGUUAUUUUGAUGAUAUUUUGUAAGGAAAUAAAAUUCGGUAAUUUCUUUUUAUUGGAUGCAUUUUUGGUAGCAAAAUUGACCUUGACUAUUUAAUGAAGAAAAUAGUAAUAAUCUUUCUAGAUUUAGUCAUCAGUAUUCACAUAAAACGAAUUGUGAUUUGAGCCCAUAGAGUGCAUAAAAUUCUAUUAGCUAAUUCUAUAUUUGCAUGUAACAUAUAGUUUGUUUAACCUUUAGUCAACACUAAAAACAGGAAAUAAAUUAAAUCUUUCUCAUGCGGUAACAUUUCCAAAUAACUCCAUUGUUUCUACUGAGACAUCAACGUCCCAUAGUAACGUCAUUAAAUUUGGUUAAAAUGCGACCGUUGACAAACCAAGCAACAACCAAUAUUAAAACGUGAGCAAAUUACUAGAGCGAUGAACAUAAACAAUUGCGAUAUAUAAAUUAUAAAUUGCAUAUUGUUAUACAAAACAUAGCUGAUCUGUAAGCUGUACCAACAUUCAUAAUUGCAUUGCUACUUUAAAGUUUUUGACAAAUAUUAAAAUAUCAUUUGUAAGCAUGAAAAAGUAUUUGUCUCCAUCGUAUCAAAAUAUUCGUGUGUGUUCCUACCGUUUCUAGCACAUUCUGGACUACUCUUGCAUCUUUUUCAUGCUUACACUAGUAAAUAUAUCACAAGCGAAUAUUUUUUUUAUAAUGAAAUUAGACUAAUCUUGAAUCAUUUUUUGUGUUAUAAAGCAUAAACAUGUAGUUUGAACCUAAACUUUAUUUGUGCAAUAAGCUGCAGAAUGUAAACAUAAAACGAACAACUAGUGUUAAUUUUGUCACAGAACACUACAUCAGUAAUUAUGACUCUAUGAUGCAUUCACUAUAUGUAUAUUCACACAUGCGUAAAUCAGUGUAUUUUUUGUUAUCGUGGAUUCAUUGUCAGCAAAUGUAUAUUACUUCGUCCAAUAAAAGCAGAGGGACGUCGCUAAAACGAUAAGGUUAUGCAACAUGGCAAAACAACAGCCACGAAAACCACAAUACGCCACAUUCCUUUUGUCCGUGUUCACGUUUAUGUAUUUUAAUUUCAUUUUCAAUAAAUAAUUUGUGAACUGUAUAAUUUUGUGGGCGAAUCUCUCAAAAAAAUCCAAAAAUGUUUUCAGAUCAAAAGGAUACUUUUGCAUUUUUGAAAAUAUUACUAAAAUUAUUAUUUAAAAUUUUGAUUAUAUAUAUUUUUAAUCCUAAACGCAUUCCCAAUCUAAAUUUUAAGUAUAAAUUAGUUAAUUCUAUUAGUGUUUUUAACUUUUUUACUGAAACUUAUUUUCAUCAUUUUUCUCAUUGUAUAUUAUAUUUUUGAUAAACAAAAAAAUUGUCCUAUCCUAAAAUAUUUCUCUAAUUCAUUUUCUUACGGCAAUACAUAUAUUACAUAUGCAUCUAAUUAUGGACGUAAGAAAAUUGCAAUUGGAAUUGAGGAUAGAGGGAGAGUGAUAGGAAAUGAUUAUUGACGGCUUGUGGGUCUCACUACGUGGCGCGACAAGAGUGGUUAAGUGGAACCGACGGCUGGACUGAGUUGGAGUUAAUCGGACGGUGCCGAUGUAUUUGUCGGAGCUUUUGGACGGUUUCUCAUGCGCAGUGAACCCCACCUUCCACGUCACCUACCCCAGUUCCAUUAGAUUUCGACCUUAGUGGAAACAGAACCACUAAAACGACGCCGUACCUUCUAUCCUGUCCAUGUAAUAAUUAUUUAUUGUAAUGGUAGGGUUAGGUUAAACAUAUAUGUAAUAAUUUAUGCUUUAUAUGUGGCUAUUUAGCUUUUUUCAAGAGAGUAUUGUAGAUACAAGAUUAAAGUAGCAAUUGAAAGAUGUUAGAAUAUACAUAUCACAAGUCUCACCCUUAAUCAACCUUAUCUAGCUAUAUAAAAGUUUUCCACUUAUAACAUUAUGACACCCUAAUUAAAAUCAAAUGUUCAAAAACUUUGCAAACGUCUGCAAUUUGAUAAGAUUUAUUUACUAUUUUUAUGUGCAAAAGAGUGACAGUUUAUAUUAUUCUAGGGGGAGGACAAGGCUCAUGACAUAUGGACAAGGGGAAAGAAAAUAUAGCCGCAUAUAGUAUAUUAACGUCGGUCCAAAUGAAAGCUACGUUUAGGUGUGGGGCGGCGAGGCUAAGUUAAUUUAACCAUAAAACUCCAUUAUCUACCAUAAUUUAAGAAUUAAGAGGUCGCUGUUCUUACAACCAUUCUUCUACAUUAUCCAAACCUCAAGUAAAUUCAGAUUAAGUUUAUAAGAUUAGUAACACUAACUAAAGCCAAAAAUAAACUUGAGUUAUAACUUCGUUAACAAAAACAUAUUCAAAUACAAUCAUUUUGAUAUGACAAAUACUAAUUUAGAUGAAAAGAUAACAUAUGGAUCCACAACAAUUUAAUUUAUAGGACUGUUUACUUAAAUAUAUUAUGAAAAUCCGAAUUAUGAUAACAAAUGCAUAUAAUGGAAUAUAUUACGCAAUACUGUAUUGUUAAUUAUGAAGCAAUGAUUAGAUUGGUUAUAUCAUGACAGCUUGCUAGGUAAUUAAUUAGUGGAAGCUAGUUUCCACAAAAAUAAUCAUAAUCGUCACAUACAUUUCUAUAUUCAGUUCAAUGAAACGAAUAAUUGGAUAACCAUUAACCUGCCACGGAAAACAUUAUUUGUAAACUAAUACGCACACCUUACAAUUAUUAACAUGUAUAUACAGAAGUAAUCAGAGCAUUCACUACGAACUCACUCUAUAUAAACAACCUUCCUUUAUCCCUCCACAAUCACAAAACAAGAACAAUAACCAAAAACACAUUUUCUUGAUAUAUUAAAAUAUUAAAUGGCGAAAGAGGUGGAAGGAGCAGAGGGAUUCGCUUCGAGGGACUACGAAGACCCGCCGCCAACUCCGUUUUUCGAUGCGGAGGAGCUGACCAAGUGGUCUUUGUACAGAGCCGUCAUCGCCGAGUUCGUAGCCACUCUCCUCUUCUUGUAUGUCACUGUUUUGACUGUCAUCGGCUACAAGAUUUCCUCCGACACUAAGGCCGGAGGUGAUGAGUGCGGAGGCGUCGGAAUCCUCGGCAUCUCAUGGGCCUUCGGUGGCAUGAUUUUCAUCCUUGUCUACUGCACCGCCGGUAUCUCAGGUAUUAAGAUAACAAACCGGUCCGGUUCAUAUCGGUUUAUACUUUUAAUAAAAACGUAGUCUUUGGUUUCUUGUUUAUUUGAAAUUGACCCCAAAACUUUGUGAAGGUGGUCACAUAAACCCUGCGGUGACGUUCGGCUUGUUCUUGGCAAGGAAGGUAUCGUUGGUUAGAGCGGUGCUAUACAUGGUGGCUCAGUGUUUGGGUGCGAUUUGUGGAGUUGGUUUCGUCAAAGCGUUCCAAAGCGCUUACUACGUACGUUACGGUGGAGGAGCAAACUCUCUAGCCGAUGGAUACAGCACAGGGACUGGACUCGCUGCAGAGAUCAUUGGAACAUUCGUCCUGGUCUACACUGUUUUCUCCGCCACUGACCCCAAAAGAAACGCACGAGACUCCCACGUUCCCGUAAGUAUUAAUCAUCAGUUACUUCCAGUUACAAGAUAUAGUUAAGUGAACAUUUAACUAAUUAAUUUGUGGUUAUGAUUUAUGAAAUAAAAGGUGUUGGCGCCACUCCCAAUUGGAUUUGCCGUGUUCAUGGUACACUUGGCCACUAUUCCAAUCACUGGAACCGGUAUUAACCCGGCCAGGAGUUUCGGAGCUGCAGUUAUCUACAACGAGUCCAAGCCGUGGGAUGACCACGUAUGUUCUAAUCAAAUUAUUGUUAUAUUUUUUUAGUGGGAUAAUCGUACUGAAUAUUUUUGGUCUCAUUUGAUUACAGUGGAUUUUCUGGGUGGGACCAUUCAUCGGAGCUGCGAUAGCUGCAUUUUAUCACCAAUUCGUCCUAAGGGCCUCUGGUUCCAAGUCCCUCGGGUCCUUCAGAAGUGCGGCCAACGUUUGAAUUUAGCCACACAAAACAAAAUAGCAAUUACAAAAUGGUUGUUAUUAUGUAUGUACAAAUUUGGCAACUUUGGUUUUAAAAUCUAUGCUCUGUUUUAUUCCUUUUGUCUUUCCUAAUUUCUGGCUUUAUUGUGGGAUAUGUGAAUGUUCGUGUACUCGGGAAAAACAAUUAAUGAAAUCAAAUUGUUUUUGCCUUGUUUAACUUUUUUUUACUACCAUCAACAUUUUCAAAAAUAAAAUGUUAGAAGUAAUACAAUUUCAGAUAAAAUCAACAAAUGGUUCAACACUUGAUGAACGUAUAGGUUUCAUUUGAUUCCCGUUAGCCUCUAUGGUAUGAAAAGGAGUAAGACAUAUCAAACGAACUGAACGUAACAAUCUCCAGUUGGAUGACGCUAGUUUAAUGUACAUGAAAGUGAACACUUUUUAUGUUGACAUUCCCAUUCGCUAUUUCUAUAAGCAAUUAUAUUUUGUAAUGGUUCAUACAAUGUGCCUUUUUCUUAAAAAUAUACAAAGGUCAUCUUCUAAAAUAACAAAAAGAAAAAAAAAAGAAAAAAAAAGAUGGACACACAAGUUUGGAGCGAUUUAAAAUAUAAUUAAAAGCCGCUAAAGUUCUUUAAUCUACAAGUCGAUUAUCCAAAUGCAGCUCAAGACCAAAAUAAGGGUGUAAGAUCAUCUUCAACAGCCACUUACUCUUCAUUAAAUAAGUCGUCUAGGGAAAACGGGUUAGUUUUGCAUUUGACCGGAAUGUGUCAGAAAUUUGACUUUUCCUGGAUGACUUACAAGUUAGUCGUCCAGUAGAAAAUUAAAAAAAUAAUAUUUUUUUUCUAAACGACUAACUUGUAAGUCGUCUCAGGUUAGUUUUGCAAUUGAAUUAUUAAACAAAAAAAAAAUUUUCUAGAUGAAUUGUCUCGAGUUUUUUUCCCACAUGACUAACCUGUAAGUCGUCCAAGUCCAGUCCCUGUGCUGUAUCCAUCGGCUAGAGAGUUUGCUCCUCCACCGUAACGUACGUAGUAAGCGCUUUGGAAGGCUUUGACGAAACCAACUCCACAAAUCGCACCCAAACACUGAGCCACCAUGUAUAGCACUGCUCUAACCAACGAUACCUUCCUUGCCAAGAACAAGCCGAACGUCACCGCAGGGUUUAUGUGACCACCUUCAUAAAGUUUUGGGGUCAAUACCAAAUAAACAAGAAACCAAAGAGCACGUUUAUUUUAAAAAAUCAGAACCGAUAUUAACCGGACUGGUUCGUUAUAUUAAUACCUGAGAUACCGGCGGUGCAGUAGACAAGGAUGAAGAUCAUGCCACCGAAGGCCCAUGAGAUGCCGAGGAUUCCGACGCCUCCGCACUCGUCGCCUCCGGCCUUAGUGUCGGAGGAAAUCUUGUAGCCGAUGACAGUCAAAACAGUGACAUACAAGAAGAGGAGAGUGGCUACGAACUCGGCUAUGACGGCUCUGUACAAAGACCACUUAGUCAGCUCCUCCGCAUCGAAAAACGGAGUUGGCGGCGGAUCUUCGUAGUCCCUCGCCGCGAAUCCCUCUGCUCCUUCCACGUCUUUAGCCAUAUCGUAUUAUUAUAGGUAAUGGAUGUUUCUUCUUAGGAACUAUUUUACUUCUGGUUGAGAAUAAGCUAGAGCAAAUGGUUCUUUAUAUAGAGUUAGCUCUUGAUUUGUGCUACUGAGCGUAUAUCUGACACUUUUUUAUCAACACAUUU
rnacentral:lncRNA from 1 species